rnacentral:lncRNA from 1 species
ACGGGAAUAAUUGAACCAAGUUGUACUUAGUUGUGCACGGUUUUGAGAACAAAAUUUCUUAAACUUAAAUCGAACAGAAGAAAUCGAUAUGAAGUUAUACAAAUUUGGAGUUGUUUAUAACUUUAUCCAUAUAUGAGGAAAAGACACAGUUGGGUUUCUAUAUUGUGCGAAAGAGAAGAAGAUUCGAAAUCUAGAAAAUUCAAAAAAAAAAAAAUGUUAAUUGCUUAAGAUAAAUUCAACC